GUAUGAUACAUCAAAUCUGGUAUUUUUGUCUCCAUGUAUGCCUUCCAUUAGGAUCCAUCUCCCUCCACGAAUUCCGCCAAGAGAAAGCCGAGAAAAUCAAGUCAGGAGCCUACUCAAAAGCCACACUCCUGCCGUAACAAAGACAACAUGUAAAGCAAACGUUAUAUCUUGUAUUACUACCUCUGUCUAGAGAAGGAUGUCGCGCGGUCAAUUUUGUGAAAACCCCCCUGACAAAUUGCCGACAUAAUUGUUCAGUCCUCCCUCAUCUUCCUCCUUGCGGGCUCGUGUUCCUCGUAGCACUCGCUCGCCGCAGCUCCGCUCGCACGCACAGAUCCCCGGCGCUGCUCCCCUCGCCCGACGGAUAGAUCCCCGGCGCUGCUCCACCUUCGUUGUCUAGCUCCACCGGGCUGCUCACGCUCCCCGUGCUGCUCCCACUCCUCUGUCCAAGAUUUGAUUUUUCCGUCGAUGGGUUCGUGGUGCGGUGCUAGCGGAGCAGAGGGAAAGGCCAGGAAGAUUGCAUCGCGGCCGCUGCUCCUGCUUCUCUUCGUCCCGCUGCUGGACGCCGGCCGCGCCGACGCGUGGGGCAAGGAUUGAAGUACUCCGCUCCGCCGCGCUGCCCAGAAGGCGGGCCCAUGGUCCCCCACCGCUGGGAUCUCCGCCGCCGGUGACACCCGCGUUUCCUUCCCCGAUGCCCUCUUGGACCAGAUCAGUCGAGAUUGCCAAGAAUUAGAACCUUUCAUUGGCGAGCAAUUGUCUUCUCUGCUUUAUCUGGAGCCAGACAGUGAGCCGGCAACCUUCAACGCCGCCGGCCGACGGCUCUGGUGGGGAGCGCAGGAGAGAAGACCUUCGACGCGGUGAUGGCACACAUCGCCGCGGGUGACUGCCCCUACCGCCCCCGCUGGCUGGACGCCACCAAGGGCAGCCGCGCUCCUCCUCCUCUUGGUCGUCGUCCUCGCUCCGGGUCAAGGACGCGCCCGGCAAGGAGAAGCCACGCGUGCGCUCCGACCGCGUUCUCAUCAUCCACAAGCACGCUGCCCGUCUACUCCCAGCGGCCACCUCCGCCUCGUCCGGCCGAAGAAGGAGGCUCUGGCGUGGACGCCACUGCUGGAUUACGAGCUUACGGCACGAGAGCUCUGCCUCACCGACGACCCGGAGGAGUUUCCGAGCCAAUGCGUGGCAGAGCUGGCGAGCAAAGCCAUCGUCCCUGCCACCGAUGAUGACUACGCCAUGGCGUUGUCCAGGGUGGACUACAAAGGAGGAGGUGGAGCAAGCUCUUGCUCACCAUCAACCUCAACGAGGAGGAGGACGACGGCGGCAACAACGAGGAGUAGGACAACUACGAGGAGUGGGAUGACACCUAGGUGGACAACGGCAACGAGUAGCUAGUUUUUUUUUUUUCAUAUAUUGUAUAAAUUUUGCCGAGAAAAUUGCAUGCGCGAUCCAUAAACUUGGCAGCGAUGUUCACUUUCAUCCAUAAACUCGCGGAUUUGAAAAACGGCUCCUUAAACUCGGCAUGUGGUUCACUUAUAGUCCAAAUUGACGAAUUCGGUCUAAA